rnacentral:rRNA from 2 species
GAGCUUGCUCCUGAUUGAUAAACAUUUGAGUGAGUGGCGGACGGGUGAGUAACACGUGGGUAACCUGCCCUAAAGUGGGGGAUAACAUUUGGAAACAGAUGCUAAUACCGCAUAAAACCUAACACCGCAUGGUGUAGGGUUGAAAGAUGGUUUCGGCUAUCACUUUAGGAUGGACCCGCGGUGCAUUAGUUAGUUGGUGAGGUAAAGGCUCACCAAGACCGUGAUGCAUAGCCGACCUGAGAGGGUAAUCGGCCACACUGGGACUGAGACACGGCCCAGACUCCUACGGGAGGCAGCAGUAGGGAAUCUUCCACAAUGGACGAAAGUCUGAUGGAGCAACGCCGCGUGAGUGAAGAAGGUUUUCGGAUCGUAAAACUCUGUUGUUGGAGAAGAAUGUAUCUGAUAGUAACUGAUCAGGUAGUGACGGUAUCCAACCAGAAAGCCACGGCUAACUACGUGCCAGCAGCCGCGGUAAUACGUAGGUGGCAAGCGUUGUCCGGAUUUAUUGGGCGUAAAGCGAGCGCAGGCGGUUUCUUAAGUCUGAUGUGAAAGCCUUCGGCUCAACCGAAGAAGUGCAUCGGAAACUGGGAAACUUGAGUGCAGAAGAGGACAGUGGAACUCCAUGUGUAGCGGUGAAAUGCGUAGAUAUAUGGAAGAACACCAGUGGCGAAGGCGGCUGUCUGGUCUGUAACUGACGCUGAGGCUCGAAAGCAUGGGUAGCAAACAGGAUUAGAUACCCUGGUAGUCCAUGCCGUAAACGAUGAGUGCUAGGUGUUGGAGGGUUUCCGCCCUUCAGUGCCGCAGCUAACGCAUUAAGCACUCCGCCUGGGGAGUACGACCGCAAGGUUGAAACUCAAAGGAAUUGACGGGGGCCCGCACAAGCGGUGGAGCAUGUGGUUUAAUUCGAAGCAACGCGAAGAACCUUACCAGGUCUUGACAUCCUUUGACCACUCUAGAGAUAGAGCUUUCCCUUCGGGGACAAAGUGACAGGUGGUGCAUGGUUGUCGUCAGCUCGUGUCGUGAGAUGUUGGGUUAAGUCCCGCAACGAGCGCAACCCUUAUUACUAGUUGCCAGCAUUUAGUUGGGCACUCUAGUGAGACUGCCGGUGACAAACCGGAGGAAGGUGGGGACGACGUCAAAUCAUCAUGCCCCUUAUGACCUGGGCUACACACGUGCUACAAUGGAUGGUACAACGAGUUGCGAGACCGCGAGGUUUAGCUAAUCUCUUAAAACCAUUCUCAGUUCG